AUCUUGGCCUGUUUACUGCCCGAUGCAGUCAGUCCAGACUCAGGGUGGCUCAGGUCAUGGUGGUAGAGCCAGCUAUAAUGAGAUUUAGACAUGCAAGAAAAAGACAGAGAAAGGGAUCCAGACUCCGUAUCAGAAACAAGCUAAAGGGAACGCUAGAAAACCUUCAUGAAAUCAAAGAGUGUAUACUAAAAGAAGUUUACCAGCAUUCCAAGACGAUGUCAUCAGGGAGACAGCAUGGUCAAGUUACCAUUGAAGGAGUCCUUCCAGUCCAUUUCCCAAAACUAGGAGUUGAAAGCUAAAUUCCAGGAAACUCCCUCAGAUGGCGGUUAACGGCAGCAGUAUUUUCUGGAGGCCCUGUCUUAGUCAGAUGCCAGGAGCAGCCCCAGUCGUGACAACAAGAAAUGUUACCAGACAUGGCCAAAUAUCCCCUGGGAGGCAAAAUCAUCCCCUUCAGUUGAGAACUGAAGGCUUGAAGGUAAUGGAGAACACUGUUUACAAAGAAUCCCAGUAGAGUCUCGGGGUGCAGGUAGGGGAUGUAGCAAAGUUGGGAAUAUUUUUGAGAUUGUGAAGUCUGGAUUUUUUCCAAUGUGUAUCUUUUAGCGUGGGAGCCAGGGAGGUCUGGCUAGGGUCAGGUGAGGACCAUAAUCUAAUCACUUAGAAUUGGCAAGCAAUACAAGGUGAAGAUUUUGAGAGCAAAGACUCAGAAAAGCUCAAAUUUUAAAACUUUCCUUUGAUGCUUUCUAUUGAUGAGUUGAUGCGUCUUUGGGGAAAUUCCUGGAAUGAACAAUACACUUAUUUGUAACUGUUAUCUUCCUGAGGAAGAGUCUUCUGGAACAGUAAAGUUAUGCUGAUGAAGAUCCUGGAAUAGUAAAGCCAUGUUAACAUAGACUGUGUGGAUAUAAAUAAGUUUUAGAUCUCAGUGAAUUCCUUAAUUCCUUGAUUUUUUUUUUGCCCCUGCCCUUUUGCCCAUUAUUACCACAUUCAGAAAAGCCAAUAAAAUACAAAAAAAAAAAAAAAAAAAAAAAAAGACUAAAGAGGCAGCAGGAAGGAGGAGGGUCUCAGAUGUGCCGCCAGGCUCCAUCCUGACUUCACCACACUGACUCCUGCAUGGCCUGGGCAAGCAACAUACUUUCUCCAAACCUCAGCCUCUCCAUCAAUAUAUGGAAGUUGAUAAUAGUGACUCCUUCAUCAAGUUGUGGUAGAGUUUGAAUGAAAUAAUACAUGACCAGUGCCCUAGACAUACUAUGCACUCAGUGGGUGUAAAUCAACUGUGUAAAACUAGGAAAAAAUGCCAUCACAAUGGUGCCUCUGUGCUCAGACCCACAUACCUUUCGGGACCACCUCAUUCUUUCUGAAAACUAUAAGCAAAUACUGGGUUUAAAAGGAAGCAGAAGUGUUCUCUGUGCACCCUAGAAAUAUUGUGUGUACGGAGAGGUGGCUAACUCUCCUAAAUCCUUCACCCAUAUUCUUAACUGAGCAUGCUCUUGGAUCACCACUAAAAUGCAUUGGGGAAUUUAGGCUGUAAUUUAGUAAUGUCACUGCUUAUAAAAGUAGAGGAACAAUGAGAACACCAUGGCACUAGCUUGGAGUAGGUUAAAAACUACUUUUCUGAAGCUUAUCUACCAGAAAGUUUAUCUAAGCUAUUUUUCAUGGGAUGUUUUAAAGACAAUACCUUCCUUUAAUAGCCAUGACCUUGAAUUCAUUAUGGUGGAAUUCUACUGCUUACUCUCACCUAAUUCUGAAAACCGGCCAUAUUCUUCAAGUGGGAGACUCACUUAUACAGUGCCAGGUGCUGAUCUAGGCACUUCAUAUGAACUUUCUGCUUUAAUCCUCAGUCUGUGAGGCAAAUACUGUGAUGAGAAAUCUGAUACUCAGAGUCAAGUAAUGUAGUGAGGAGACCCAGCUGACACACGAGUGGAGUCAGAAUUUAAGCCUUGUCUAGUGGACUCCAAAGUUGACGGUUCUACUCCAUCAUGUUACCACCUACAUGUCUAUUUCUCAAAACAACAACAAACAGAAAAACCCAAAGAUAACGCAUCAAACAUCCUAGUCAUGGUUUUACAGAGCUUGGGUCCAUGUGUAGUAUUUGAACAGAUAAACUGGUUUCUAGUAUGUUGGCAAGGAAGGGGCAAUCUUGCAAGGUGGAUAGAUCUAAUCUGAUCGUAAGGUGACUGAAAUAACCAGACACCAGCCUCAGGGAGCCACAUUGCCAGUCCAGUUGAUUGCCUAAUUUUAACCAGUGAAUGAAGUAGAUCCAAUCCAUUAGUUGACACUUAACUGCUAUUGAUGGGACUGCGAGGAAGAAAAACAAGUCCGUCGCCUCUCUUAUAUACCAUCCUGUCCCCCAGUGCAACUUGAGUGCUGUGUAAAUUUGGCAAAGGGAUGUUUAGACAGCAAAAGUUAUCAACAAAAUGGUUAUGGGCCAAGGGAAUUUCACUGAAUAAUCCUGUGGCUGGGAGUGACACUGGAAUUAAUCGUCUCCUAGUGUCUUGAAGAGUAGGUUUCCUAGGAUGGCCUCCUUUUUUAUGGUGAUGGUAAUCUUUUUAUUAUUUUUAGUGGUGGGUGAUUCAUUAAAAGAACAACUAAACGCAAUUCAACUUCUAGGCCUUUGUAAGGCUUUUGGAUUUUGUUUUUGUUUUUUAACAUAAACCAGAGGUUUUUUUUUCCUUCUCAGCUCUGUGAAAAUGCCAACCGUGUGAUUUUUGAGCAAGUCCCCUAAUCUCACUGGGGUUCAGUUUCUUCUCUGUAAGAGAGGGAUCCACUACAUGAUCCUUAAGGUCCCUUCUUGCUUUUUAGUCAAACUGAUUCAGACGUUAUUAACUGACUAGUGCCCUCUACAGGCAACUUCCUCCACCGUGUAAGAAUCCAGAAAGAGGAUAUUAGCAAAAUUCUCUUGAUGUAUUUAGUGUUGUGACUUAGUGUGCAACACAAUAUCUCGUUAUGUAAUGAACCAUGCUGUGAAGCAAAUAAAAAUGUUAGACUUUAUCUAGACCUAAUUUUACAGUUAAAGAAUAUGAGGACCACCAUGCCUGGGAACUUUUCCAAUUCCUUUGGGAUAAGGCUGGGGCUUGGUUACAAAUCCUUGAUCUUCAGCUUAAUAGUGUCCAGUAGUGACCUUUCUAGCCUUUUACGGUUUUCUUCAAAACUCUCUUGCCUUCACUUCACAGAUAACAUUGGAACUCAGCAUUCUGUAAAUUUUCUACAUACUUACUAGCCUUAACAGUUGAUGAACUGCUGAUUUUUCCACUAGAGUGGGAAAUGACUGCGUAGAAGUUGCCUGGUAAUUAUGUGAGCACCUCCUGUAAGGGCUACUUUCUUGCAACCUUUCCUGCUACUGAUGGGAAGGUCCUUUACUGACAUUGCCAGUGGAAAAUGUAUGCAUGCUCAAUAUCUGAUUGAUUCACUUUUAGUUCAAGGACUGCGAAAAUUUUUAAUCCUUCAUGCGGAGACCUACUCAGAAGUUGGGACACACUCUUCAUUUCUAAGGUGGAGGACACAGAAAAAAUGUCCUGGACAGCUUUCAAUGAAAAUCUGGGUCUGCUUAAGCCUACUUUAAAAUUUUCUAAAAUAAAUUCAUGUUUUAAUUUUUAUUAUUACAAAAGCAGCAUUUGUGCCUUGUCGAAAGUUAUAAAUUGAGAUAAAGAAAAAUAAGAAAAUGAUGCACCAUAUUCCUACCACCCAUAGAUUACCACUGUUAACACCUGUGUGUAUAUCCUUAAAGCUUUUUCUAUGCAUGUAUAAAUAUACAUAUACAUAUUUUUACCAAAAUGAGAUCAUGUUGUACAUGCUGUUUGUAACCUGCUUUUUUUAGUUAAUGAUCUCCAUCUUUCCUUGCCAAUAAAUUUUCAUCUUAUCUAAAACCCAGUCUGUAUUCAAACUCCUCCUGCUCGUCCCCAAAAAUGUCCUUUCCAGUUGGUUUGUCCAAACCAAACUCAAACCUAGGGCCCUGCAUUGCAUCUAGUAUUA